UCUUGUGUGUGUGAGCGAGUGGUUGCUGUUUACGAUGUGUUCAUAUAUCGAUUUGUAGUGCUGUAAUGUGCAAAUUAGCGGACUUUAUAGCGGCUCUCUAUUUUCCGUCGUUGUCUUUCGAGCAGCGCCUGUUGUUCCGGUAAAAAUCGAGUUGAAUGAAUCGCCACAGCCCCAACGUAUAUCGCGCAGUGUUGACCAAGACCAAGUCAAGCAGGAAUUCUGGCAUGGUAUGUGGCUGCACGAAAGAUUCCGAAAAAGAAAAACAACAACAUGGCUAACAGGAUGUUGCUGCCCAGGGAGUCCUGGCGAAGAGGUUUACUCAUUCCAGAAGCAAGAAUUGUAUCAUUGUAAGGCGAAUGGAAAUAAACUGACAUCGACUGA